UAUGAACACCAGCUCACACCACCUGGUUUACUUGUAGUUCAUGGCCAAAGACGGUCCACUGGGCAAUGGUCAAUGACUCUGGCCUCAAGAUAAGAUCACCCAGUGACAACAGCAAGGGAACUCAGUCCCAGGCUCCUUCAGUUGUGCUCCUUCCAAAGCCAUCUGUAGCAUUAACCAGCCAUGGAGAAAGGACACUCUGAAGUCAGCCCCAGCACGCCCAUACCGAGCAUCAAGAGGAAGGCGGACGAAUACAUAAAACCCAAACAGGCCUCCAAAAAUGUGCUGAGCUUUCUACUUGGUAGGCAACUAGGCAGCCACAGAAAUGACCUGAAUCUGUCUAAGUGGUUGUGGAUGCUGACCCGAGCCACACCAGGGUGGCAGUGGCCCCUGCCAAAAAAUCACAUAACUUACCUGCUUAUGCCUACCCACAAUGUUGGAAAAGGCAAAAAGAAUGGUUUAGAAUGACACACUGCUGCCUUGUUUCAGCUGUUAAAAUAAAAGCUGAAUUUUCA